GCCUAGAGUGGUCCUUUAAUCCUGGACUGUUUAGGGGUACUUGAGGACUUGGUUGGAACCACUGAUUUCGGUAAACUAGAAAAAUGGUCAGAGUUGUGCCAGCUGAAAUUUAAUGGGGAUAAGUGCAAGAUAAUGCAUCUUGAACGUAAAAACCCAAGGGCAGAGUAUAGGAUAUUUGAUAGAGUCCUAACCGCAACCGAGGAAAGGGAUUUAGGGGUGAUUAUUUCUGAUGACUUUAAGGUAGGCAGACAAUGUAAUAGAGCAGCAGGAAAUGCUAGCAGAAUGCUUGGUUGUAUAGGGAGAGGUAUUAGCAGUAGAAAGAGGGAAGUGCUCAUGCCAUUGUACAGAACACUGGUGAGACCUCACUUGGAGUAUUGUACACAGUACUGGAGACCUUAUCUUCAGAAGGAUAUUGAUACCUUAGAGAGGGUUCAGAGAAGGGCUACUAAACUGGUUCAUGGAUUGCGGGAUAAAAC